CGGCCCAGUACGUCACCGUGCAUCACCGUGCGUCACCUGUCGGCGCCGCGGCCGUUACCCGCGCGGCGAGCACUUCCGCGUUCUGGUUGCGUAGCAGGGCAGAGGCUUGGUGCUGUGACCACUUCCUUGGGGAGCCUGUUCCAGUGACUGACCACCCUCUCAGUGAAGAACCUUUUCCUAAUGUCCAGUCUGAACUUCUCCUGACACAGCGUCACUUCAUUUGUGUCCUGUCACUGGUCACCAGAGAGAUCAGCGCCUCCCCCUCUGCUGCCCCCCUUGAGGAAGUUGUAGUCUGCGAUGAGGUCACCUCUCAGCCUUCUCCAAGCUGAACAAACUAAGUGACCUCGCUCCUCAUAAGUCUUGCCCUCGAGGCCUUUCACCAUUUUGGUUGCCCAACACCAAUGUUGGGCCCUGGGACCCCAGAGGCCUUUCCUCAGAAGAGAGCUGCUGCAGUCCCCCAGUCGUCUUCAUAGCUUAAAUUCCCAUACUUCGGAGUUGCUUGCUCCUGCGCUCUUGUGUUCAGUUCUUUAGUGUGUGCCCCUAUACAGAUUAGUACCUGAUUUUAAGUUCUGAAUUAAAGUUGUGACAUUUACCUAUA